CGACCUCAGAUCAGACGAGAUUACCCGCUAAAUUUAAGCAUAUCAAUAAGCGGUGGAAAAGAAACGAAAACGAAUUCUCCAAGUAGCGGCGAGCGAAACGAGAAAAGUCCAUACACCGAAGUCGGCGAGCAGUUGUGUUCGUCAACAGUGUGGUGUUAAAGGUGUCGUUGCAUGUGCUGAAAUCAGUUCGUAGGCUCCCUUGAUUGGGGCUUCAGAGCGGGUGCAGGACCCAUAACGAACGAUGUUUUGUGCAUGGUGUCGCGGCUCCUAAUCGAGUCGGGUUGCUUGAGACUGCAGCCCAAAGCGGGUGGUAAAUCUCACCCAAGACUAAAUAUUCGUACGAGACCGAUAGCGAACAAGUACCGCGAGGGAAAGUUGAAAAGAACUCUGAAGAGAGAGUUCAACAUGGACGUGAAACCGUUGACAGGCAAACGGAUGGAGCUGACGGUGCAAUUUUGACCAAAAUCAGUCGUCGCUGGGAUUCGUUGGGCGAAUGAAUCUUUUU
rnacentral:ncRNA from 1 species